GCCUACAUGAAGUCGGAAUUGCUAGUAAUCGCGGAUCAGCAUGCCGCGGUGAAUACGUUCCCGGGCCUUGUACACACCGCCCGUCACACCAUGGGAGUCGGUAACACCCGAAGCCUGUAGUCUAACCGCAAGGAGGACGCAGUCGAAGGUGGGAUUGAUGACUGGGGUGAAGUCGUAACAAGGUAUC
rnacentral:rRNA from 1 species